CAAUGGACGAUGAGAGGGACAGUACACGUCACCCCUUCCAAAAGCGAGUCAGGGAUGGUGGAAGCCUGAUGGAACGUGAAUGUGGAAAAUCACCCUUUAGUUUUUGCACCGAACGAUCGUUGAUUCAGUAGGCUGCAACAGGUCAUGCCUGUUAACAAUGACACGAGGGAACAAGCAAAGAAUGUCGUUUGUUCACUAGGGUGGUACCGCGGGAAUACCUUCUCGUCCCUAAU
rnacentral:ncRNA from 1 species